AACAAGAAACCAAGUGCAAAGUAGACAAGUGGAGCAUUGGUAGGGCAAUUGUACAUACUUACAGCAAAAUUUAUCAAUAACAAACUACUUGUUAGGAUUAUAUAACAGCUUGAGCUGUUGUAUUCCUAGUGAUAUGGAGGAGUUGAUUGAACACACAACUCUGACUCAUCUCCUUCAUCAUCGUCGUCAUCUGCUUCUACCCAGUUACUAGGAUGGUGUUGAGAAGCAUGACCUUCCAAAUCCACCAUGCCUUGAGGUUCUUCCAAAGGAUUCCUGUCCACAGAAUGGAAGUCAUUAGGUAUGUCAGACAUAUUUCUUCCAGCAGCUCCAGCUUCAGAUAUGUGUAUCACACCAAUUUUCUGAAUUUCCCUUUGCACAUUAUCGCUCUCGUUUCUUUCCUUUCCGUGUUCAGCAUCAUUACCACCUCUUGUUCUGCUUCCUGAAAGAUCAGACCAAAUUCUGGUCUGAUCAGAUGGAAGCCCAGAAUUCCCUUUUGACCUCUCCUGGACUGGGGCCUGUCUUCCAUCAUUAGCCUGCCCAUAGGAAGUGCCAGCAGAUUGUGGAUUUUCCAAGGAGCUUGCAGUGUUGAGCUGUGACACAAGCAUGGUUGCAAGUACCAAAGUGGCAUCAAAAGUUGAGUUGGAGCCAUCGUCUAAACCAAAUUUUGGAGCCAUUAAAAUUGGCUCGCCAGCUUUAUCAAAAUAGAACUGUAUGUCAACUUCACAUCCCUCACAGAAAGAAAGGAAAGCUUUCG
rnacentral:misc_RNA from 1 species